UGAAGUUUAUUUCAGUCGGUAGAGCAUGAGGCUCUUAAUCUCGGGGUCGUGGGUUUGAGCCCCACAUUGGGCCAA